AUUGAACGCUGGCGGCAGGCCUAACACAUGCAAGUCGAGCGAGCGGCGGACGGGUGAGUAAUGUAUGGGGAUCUGCCCGAUAGAGGGGGAUAACUACUGGAAAGGUGGCUAAUACCGCAUACUAUCGGAUGAACCCAUAUGGGAUUAGCUAGUAGGUGGGGUAAAGGCUCACCUAGGCGACGAUCUCUAGCUGGUCUGAGAGGAUGAGCAGCCACACUGGGACUGAGACACGGCCCAGACUCCGACGGGAGGCAGCAGUGGGGAAUUUUGGGCAAGGGGGGAAACCCGGAUCCAGACAUCCCGAGUGUGCGAUGAAGGCCUUCGGGUUGUAAAGCACUUUUGGCAGGAAAGCGGUACCUGCAGAAUAAGCACCGGCUAACUACGUGCCAGCAGCCGCGGUAAUAC
rnacentral:rRNA from 1 species